AUGGCUGCUGUGAAAGUACCACGAACCGGGUUGCUUGAAGCAGCAGAACUAUAUUCUCUCACAGUUCUGGACAAACGUGGGAAAUCCAGCUACAGGCAGGGCCUUGCUCCUUCUGAGCCGUUGGGUAGAAACCUUCCUGGCCCAGCCUGGGGUUCCUGCAAUUGGCGUUCUUUGGCUUGCAGCUACAGGAGAAGAGGGCACAGAACAGAGAGGGACACAGCAGCUUGGGAAGGUCUCUCAGAGUGACUUUACAACCAGGUUUCAGGGGACUCCCAUUUGGACUCUGCUUUCUGGAGCCUGUGUUUGUAACAAGCCCCAAGUGACUCUGAUGCAGGGAGACAGUCUCACUUGCAACCCACCCCAUGGCUUCAGAAUAUGGGGGAGGUCUCCCCAAUGCUCCGCAGCCCACACCCAUGCCCUGCCCAGAGUGCACCCCAAGUAUGCAUGUAGAUGAACAACUGGGGGAAGUGUGAGAAUAAUGGAUCCCCACUGGAGGAGCCCAGUCCCAGGGAAAAUGAUUGGGAAUCUGCUGUGAGUACAGUGACAGGUGACAAGGGCCCUCAACAGUGUCAUGAGGGACACUUUUAUUGUUGUGAAGUCCACACACUAACCCCAAGCCUUGUGAAAUAGAGAUGGUUCAUUCGGUUAUCAAAUAUUUGGGUGCCAAAUAUAUGCAAGUCACUAUAUUCAGUGUUUUGGGAUUUGAGAAUUUUGCCAUAGUUCUUUUUUAAGCAAAUUAAAUAAAUUUAGGAAAUUAAUUUAGAAUUGUGCGUUUAAAAUUUUUAUUGUGCCAAUAAAAAUUUGUUUAAAAAAAUUUAAAGACUUUUCUUUAAAAAAAGUGCCGUCACGAAAGAUACUACUUUAUUGUUAUUUUAUUUUUCAUUUGUAUUCAUUUGUUUUUAAAUAGGUUAGUAGUCAAAAGUCUAUUAAAGAGGCUGGGUGUGGUGGCUCAUGCCUGUUAUCACAGCACUUUGGGAGGCCAAGGUGGGUGGAUCACUUGGGGUUAGGGGCUCAAGCCCAGCCUGGCCAACAAGGCGAAACUUCCUCUCUAUUAAGAACACAAAAUUAGUGGGACAUGGUGGCGGGCGCCUGUAGUCCCAGCUACUCAGGAGGCUGAGGCAGGAGAAUGGCUUGAAUCCGGGACGUGGAGGUUGCAGUGAGAUGAAAUUGAGCCACUGCACUCCAGCCUGU
rnacentral:lncRNA from 1 species